UACGUAGGGCGCAAGCGUUGUCCGGAUUUAUUGGGCGUAAAGAGCUCGUAGGCGGUCUGUCGCGUCGGCUGUGAAAACCCGAGGCUCAACCUCGGGCCUGCAGUCGAUACGGGCAGACUAGAGUGUGGCAGGGGAGACUGGAAUUCCUGGUGUAGCGGUGAAAUGCGCAGAUAUCAGGAGGAACACCGGUGGCGAAGGCGGGUCUCUGGGCCAUAACUGACGCUGAGGAGCGAAAGCGUGGGGAGCGAACAGG
rnacentral:rRNA from 1 species